rnacentral:sRNA from 1 species
GCCGGGCGUGGUGGCUCACGCCUGUAAUCCCAGCACUUUGGGAGGCUGAGGUGGGUGGAUCACCUGAGGUCAGGAGUUUGAGACCAGCCUGACCAACAUGGAGAAACCCCGUCUCUA